AGUAGAAGGAUAACAUGACAUAGCAGGAAUAAUACUGCCUUUUCUUUCUGGCAUGGAUCAAGAGAAAAGAAAAUACAAGAAAACAGACAGAAGAUCCUAUCUGCGACAAUUAAGAGCACUCUAAGAGGAAAACACAUCCCACCACAGCAAGGUACUUCUAUGGAAGGGUGAGCCCUCACAGAUGGAGCAAUGGGGCGCGCACACCUGAACAAGGGAGGGGAAGGAGUUCUUAUCCCUGAUGCAUGUGACCCCUGCUGCUGUGUCCUUCCCCUAUUGGCUAAGGCUUCUGACAGCUUUGGAGAUUGUGACAUUGGAAUAAAGGAAAAACGUACAGGACUCAUGAAGCGCUGAAAUGUUCACAAAUAUCAAGCAAAAGUCAAUGAAAUUUAUUUUGAGCUAUUUACAUCAUUUAAUAAUUGAGCAAGGUAUACUCCUAUGAACAAAAUUUGGAGCAUGUUUGUCUCUCUCUGCCUGGCGUCUUCAGAAUUUGGAAACUAGUUAGUCAUGGAAAUUUAUUUUGAGCUAUUUACAGCAUUUAAUAAUUGAGCAAGGUAUACUCCUAUGAACAAAAUUUGGAGCAUGUUUGUCUCUCUCUGUCUGCCUGGCAUCUACAGAAUUUGGAAACUAGUUUCGUUCCCAGAUUUCCUAAACUUUCCAGAGAAAAUGGUCUUCUCCCUGGCUCAGCAAGAAGAUGAACUUUAAACACUGAGAAACUGGUCAUCUCCCUGGCUCAACCAGAAGAUGAACUUUAAACACUACUCUCAAUGACUUGAUGUUCCCAUCACUACUCCUGUCAUAAAGGGAGGGGACUCAGAUAUUGAGAAUUUUAUGAUAGUGUGAACUGUCUGGUAUGUCAUUUAAGUAAGCCCGUUGCUGAAAUAUUUUCCAUGUUAUUAGAAAGAGCUGAAGAGAGGGAUUGAGAUGGCUUCUUUAUUUUUUGUCUUUUGGGAAUUAAAGGAACCUGGUUCAACAAGGGCCUACACCUAAGUCUCUUGUUGUACCAGAGUACAAUUUAGGACUGCUCCUGAGGAAGGAAUUAGCUAGAAAUCUAGAGAGUAAGGGUAACAGAUUUACAUAGAAUAACAGCCUCAGUAUUUUUGGUUCCUCUCCAGUAAAGAUCACAAAGAAUAUUGCUAAAUCGCUAAAACACCUUUGCAAUAACGUAAGGGCUUACAACUAUAUACCAAUGUAGCUCAGUUACUAAACUGGAGUAAACUAAUUUCUCUUGUGUAGAAAAAUUGGUUGGCUGUGGUUUUAUAGCAGAUCUGCAAUUAUUAAUAGUUAUGCCAAUAAUCGUUUAACAGUGCAUAUGUUAAUAUAUAUGGAAAGACAAUGUGUAUAGACAGAUGUGUAAAAUUGAAAAAUAAACAUAUAACAAGAGAGAAACAUCUAUCGAACAGACAAUAUACAUACACAUCAAACACAACAGCAGUUUUAGUGACCAUAAUAUUUAUUUCUCAUUUUUACAUUGCUUACUUUAGUGACAACUGAAAAUGACAGUUGGCAAUGCAGCUAACAGUUUCAAUAAAAGUAUAAAACAAAAGACUGUGUACAAAGCACCUGUCUUUCCGCUUUUGUAAUCUUCCGUUGGAAAAAAUUUACACACCUAAGUAACCAUCUGUUUUCUUCAAGAAAAAAUCAUUCUUAUUUCUCUCUCUCAUCUUGAAAACAGCUGUCAGCCAGGAGGGCAGAGCUGAAAUUUAUUGCCACAUCACAUGAAGCAUAGAACAGACUCCACUACUCCUUGAGAUUCAAAACUUUGCCUCUCACAAAGUUACCUUUUAUUUUCCUCUUGUUUGUCACUCAUCUCCCCUAGUGUGCUCUUUUUAUUUCUUUUACUAUUAAUAAUAAAAUCUGUGGAUGACUGUAUUAUU
rnacentral:lncRNA from 1 species